CUGAGGAGGAGAAUGUAUUAGUAAAGUCAUUUUUAAUGGCUUGGGUAUUUUUAUUCCAUCUUUAGCUUAAUAUGCAGAUCUUUGUAAAAAGUGUAGAUGGUAGAACAAUUACAUUGGAUGUUGACCCCUCCGAUACUAUUGCUACUGUUAAGCAAAAAAUUUAUGAAAAAGAAAAACAAAACUCGUCAAAAGGCAAACCAACAAAGCUAAUCACUAAUCGCAAGAAAACGAAUAAUGCCUGAGGUAAACAGUACCAAAGUGGGCUCACCUGCAUGGACUUAUUGGCGGAACUUCGCUGUUCAACGAGUCUACAAGGCAAUCUUUUUUUGUUCUAGAAGCAUCAAUCCCAACAAUACAAAUGUCAUGAUCGAACAGGUUUAUUUCUGAUCAAUAAAUGGUAUUUCUUUGCAAAGCUUGGCGAAAGCAUUUAACAGUUGUUGAUGGUAUCUUAUUCUUGAAAAACACCCGCCACCCAAUGCAUUGGAGAAACGAAAACUUUCAAAGCCAAACAGAGUAUUUAUGGGUCAACUACGAUAUGGCAGAUGCAGCAGCCUCAGUUCCUAGUUGCUAAAGUUUGAAUUCAUCAUGUCGAAUUAGUUGUUCCACAUUAUGGAUGAAGACAUUACACACUGUGUAGGCAUUAACAAUAAUUUUCGCUCUUGAAACUAAUUGGUAGUUGUUGUUGUUGCAGUGUUUUGUACACUGAGGCACCAUUGCCGAUGAAGGACCCCAUCUGGUUAAUCCGAUACGUACAACCGGCUGCCAUGGGAUUGAUACUAAUUGGUCCAUAUACCAUAUAAGAAAAGAAAUCGUCCAAUAAACACCAGUAACUGAAGUUUAAUAUAAAAAAUAAAAUAUAUACUUUGAAUUACCUGUAGAGCCCAUUUUCAACUCAAGUUUAAGCUCAAUGAUAAGGGAUUUUUUCUUUUUAUAGCCGGGUCCGAAGAAUGUGCCGCAGUGCACUCCCAUUUUGGGGAUAAGAUUUUACAUGGCAUGGUGCAUCACAAAUUUCGCCAGGUUUCGAACCCAGGCGUUCAGCGUCAUAGGCUAUCAUGCGUCUAAUACUGGUUUAAUGAGUAUUGAGGAGAGCAGCAUUCUGGCUAGUGUGGACCUUCUUCAUCUGCGUGGCGUUCGCACUAAUACUGUGCAUUACUGUUUUGUUGUUGUAGCAGUGCGUUGUAACCUGAGGCGGCAGCCCAUGCCGAUGAAGGACUCCUUUAGGUCAAUCCGGUACGUAUAACAGCCUGCCAUGGGAUUAAAUACACUACUGGUCAAGGGUUUUAUAUAUAGCCAAAAAGGUUUCCAAGUGCUACCAGUAAGUGUCUUGAGGACCUUGUUUCUACUUUUAAAAUAGUUGUUGUUGUUGUAGCCAAAUUUGCAUGUGGAGGUUGCGAUCCUCGUCAAGCUCGUUCCGGUCUUUACGACCGAUCGCCAUUGGUUAUUUAAAGCCGCCAAUAACUGGCCUUGUCAUAUCGAGCAUCAUAGGCACUCAGUAUUUAAGUCUGUUGAAACUCUCCACUCGGUACUGCUGAUUGUCCGCGACUGCAGUUGCAGCUACUUCGUAUGGAGCAUUCCACUAUCCGUAAUCUGUAGACGCACCCGAUAGCUCCCAUCUACGCUUCUUGUGAUAACGAAGAAAACACAGAUUGGAGCUCAAAGUUGCAGCCUGUGUGAUGCUCAUAUUUAUCGCAUGCCGGGUAGCACUUUUUGGGAAAGUUAAGACCACUGAUGUUCUUCCGCUGUCCAUGUAGUGAACAAUAUAUAACAAAAUCAUUAUUUUGUGAUGUCAUCAACGCAAAAGCCUGAAGCCGUGAACGUAGCAUCGUGAAUAUCACCUCAUCUUCGUGAAUUCUGUUUCACUCUAGAGUGAUUCGCUAUCCGUCUUAGGUCUGGUAGUAUGGACUUGGUGGUUUCAUCAAAAAGCUUGGCAUGGUUAACCGUUUGGAAAGUCUUCGAUAGGUCCCAAUCCCCCGGAUCAUCCUACAACAUGGCUUGGUCUGGUUGAGACCGCGACUAGUACAUAAAGUAAUGGUGUGCAAAGCAAUCCUUGUGUUGCCGCACUGGCAAGCUAACUUAGCUGCCUUAACACCUUCAUGCAAUACCCCUUAUAGAAUAAAAAACAAAC